UAAUUCUGCUCCAGCGGGGUCAACUUCUUGGAGAAGUAGGCUCAUGGAUGGAGUACAGCUCAUGGAUGGAGCCCAGCAGCUCAUUAUUCCUAUCAGGAACUGGAACAAUACAAGAAGAAUUCUGAGAACUUUCAAGCAAGUGAAUAUCGAUACAAAGAGGAGCUAAAGCGAAAAAGUCAGGAACUGGAACAA